rnacentral:tRNA from 1 species
AGUUCGGUACUUUAAACAAAAGACGAAAUUUGCACUUUCGCAAUGAGGUGUCCUCUCGAACUU